rnacentral:rRNA from 1 species
UACGUAGGUGGCAAGCGUUGUCCGGAAUUAUUGGGCGUAAAGCGCGCGCAGGCGGUCCUUUAAGUCUGAUGUGAAAGCCCACGGCUCAACCGUGGAGGGUCAUUGGAAACUGGGGGACUUGAGUGCAGGAGAGAAGAGUGGAAUUCCACGUGUAGCGGUGAAAUGCGUAGAGAUGUGGAGGAACACCGGUGGCGAAGGCGGCAUCCUGGACCGGCAUUGACGCUGAGGCGCGAAAGCCAGGGGAGCAAACGGG